UCGAGCGAACCCUUCGGGGUGAGCGGCGGACGGGUGAGUAACGCGUGGGUAACCUGCCCUGUACACACGGAUAACAUACCGAAAGGUAUGCUAAUACGGGAUAACAUAUGAGAGUCGCAUGGCUUUUGUAUCAAAGCUCCGGCGGUACAGGAUGGACCCGCGUCUGAUUAGCUAGUUGGUAAGGUAACGGCUUACCAAGGCAACGAUCAGUAGCCGACCUGAGAGGGUGAUCGGCCACAUUGGAACUGAGACACGGUCCAAACUCCUACGGGAGGCAGCAGUGGGGAAUAUUGCACAAUGGGCGAAAGCCUGAUGCAGCAACGCCGCGUGAGCGAUGAAGGCCUUCGGGUCGUAAAGCUCUGUCCUCAAGGAAGAUAAUGACGGUACUUGAGGAGGAAGCCCCGGCUAACUACGUGCCAGCAGCCGCGGUAAUACGUAGGGGGCUAGCGUUAUCCGGAAUUACUGGGCGUAAAGGGUGCGUAGGCGGUCUUUCAAGCCAGAAGUGAAAGGCUACGGCUCAACCGUAGUAAGCUUUUGGAACUGUAGGACUUGAGUGCAGGAGAGGAGAGUGGAAUUCCUAGUGUAGCGGUGAAAUGCGUAGAUAUUAGGAGGAACACCAGUAGCGAAGGCGGCUCUCUGGACUGUAACUGACGCUGAGGCACGAAAGCGUGGGGAGCAAACAGGAUUAGAUACCCUGGUAGUCCACGCCGUAAACGAUGAG
rnacentral:rRNA from 1 species